rnacentral:rRNA from 1 species
CUACGGGUUGCAGCAGUGGGGAAUCUUAGACAAUGGGCGCAAGCCUGAUCUAGCCAUGCCGCGUGAGUGAUGAAGGCCUUAGGGUCGUAAAGCUCUUUCGCUGGGGAAGAUAAUGACGGUACCCAGUAAAGAAACCCCGGCUAACUCCGUGCCAGCAGCCGCGGUAAUACGGAGGGGGUUAGCGUUGUUCGGAAUUACUGGGCGUAAAGCGCGCGUAGGCGGACUGUUAAGUCGGGGGUGAAAUCCCGGGGCUCAACCCCGGAACGGCCUUCGAUACUGGCAGUCUGGAGUUCGAGAGAGGUGAGUGGAAUUCCGAGUGUAGAGGUGAAAUUCGUAGAUAUUCGGAGGAACACCAGUGGCGAAGGCGGCUCACUGGCUCGAUACUGACGCUGAGGUGCGAAAGCUAGGGGAGCGAACGGGAUUAGAUACCCUUGUAGUC